rnacentral:lncRNA from 1 species
CAAUUAUUAAACAGUUUGACAAUAAUGAGCUUGCUUAAAAAUAUACUACCCAAUAUCCAAACUAAAGCAAAGUAUUAUUUAAGACAUCACUACAAGAUGCCUAGUUAUGCAAAGUGAUAGAAAUAUACGGAAUAAUAAUACAUGAAAUAGCCUAAAUACAAUCAGUAAAAAAACACAGAAAAAGCUAAAUUAAAACUUCAAAGUUCCAUUCUUCAUAUGUAUUCAUGCUUUCACAUUCAGUUUACAAUAUCGACAAGGUUACAGCCAUGUACCUGGUAUUGGAAACAAGAGAAGAGGAACAUGAGAAAUCAGCAAGGCAGUAAUCAACACAGCAAAACAUCAAUAACAAUAGCUAAACCCAACAACAGAUUUCAACAAAAACCCGGUGAAAUCAAACCAGAAAAUACCAACAGAAAUAGACUUCAACCACAACAAUAUCAACACUAGCCAAAUAAACUCAAAGACUCACUAGAGUUACUUAAGAUCAGUCUUAGUGUAUUUGGAUCAAGAGAAAUAAAAUCAAUAAAGCAAAAAGAGAAGCUUUAAAUAAGCAGUGGUGUUUUCAGCUCUCUAUUUUUUUUUCAACUCUCAAUUCUUUUUUUUCAUUCUCUGUUUUUCUUCCUUUCUUAAGUUCUGAAAUUUUCUUCUCUCAAAUCCGUCCCUUUUUAGUGUCAAAAUGACUCUUAUUUAUAUCCUAAGCAAGACCCCCCCCCCCCAACUAUUAACUUUCACUUUUAAACUAUUAUUACUAACCAUUUUUACCUCUUUUACUUUCCAGUCCAAGUGUCAGACCACUGGAAUUUGGUAGCUUUCUGUGUUAACUUAGUCAAUGGUGCUGAUAUAGAGGAAAACCCUUCUACAAAUCGCCUAUAAUAUCCUGCUAGCCCCAGGAAGCUACGAACUUCUUCUGGUGUUGUAGGUCUUGGCCAAUUCUUUACUGCAUUCGCCUAUAAUAUCCUGCUAACCGUAGGAAGCUGCGGAGCUUAGCAUAUAACUUACGAUCAUGAUGCAUCUGUAAUACUAUCCGCAUGUUACGCCUCCGAACAAGAAUACACCAGAAUGUCAUCAAUGAAUACAAUCAUGAACACAUCAAGAUAGGGCCUGAAUACAGUAUUUAUGAGAUACCAUAAAAGCAGUUGGAGCAUUUGUUAGCACGAACGACAUCACUAAGAACUCAAAGUGCCCAUAUCUUGUUCGGAAGGUCGUCUUUGGAAUAUCCUUCUCCUUAACCCUCACUUGAUGAUACCCUAAACGUAAGUCAAUCUUGGAGAAAUACUUGGCACCCUGGAGUUGGGCAAACAAGUCAUCAAUUCUUAGAAGUGGAUACUUGUUCUUUAUAGUAACUUUAUUCAACUGUCAAUAGUCUAUACAUAUCCGUAACGACCCGUCUUUCUUCCGCACGAAUAGGACUGGCGCACCCCAAGGUGAAGUGCUAGGCCUAAUGAAGCCCUUAUCCAGCAAGUCCUUCAACUGCGCCUUCAACNNNNNNNAAUAGGACUGGCGCACCCCAAGGUGAAGUGCUAGGCCUAAUGAAGCCCUUAUCCAGCAGGUCCUUUAACUGCGCCUUCAACUCUCGCAACUCUACCGGAACCAUUCUAUAUGGAGGGAUAGAGAUCGGUUGAGUUUCAGGCAACACAUCAAUGCUAAAAUCAAUCUCCCUUUCAAGAGGAAAGCCUGGGAGUUCAUCUAGGAAAAUAUCUGGAAAUUCAUUGACCACGGGGAUUGAUUGUAGAGUAGGUAGCUUCGCCUCUGCAUCCCUAACGCGAACGAGAUGAUAAAUGUAACCUUUUGAGAUCAUUUUCCUUGCCUUAAGAUAGGAAAUAAACCUACCUUUAGGUGUAGUAAUGUUCCCCUUCCAUUCAAUGACGGGUUCACCUGGAAAUUGAAACCUAACCAUCUUCGUACGACAGUCAACAUUUGCAUAGCAUGAGGCCAACAAGUCCAUACCCAUUAUCAGUGACAGGUUCUCCUGGAAAUUAAAACCUAACCAUCUUCGUACGAUGGUUAACAUUUGCAUAGCAUGAGGCCAACCAGUCCAUUCCCAUUAUCACACCAAAAUCAACCAUUUCUAACUCAAAUAAAUUUGCCGAGGUUUGACGACUACAAAUCAUAACAGUGCAACCUCUACCGCAAGGGGUCUACCUCUCAAUUCAGGUUUAAUGCCAAACUUAUUAGCCAUAAAGAGUGUAACAUAUGAUAAUGUAGAUCCCGGAUCAAUCAGCACGUAUACAUCAUAAGAAAACACAGACAAUAUACCUGUAACAACAUAUGGAGAUGACUCGAGAUCCUGUCAACCUAUUAUGAUGCCCCCUUUUCCUCUCGAGCGAAAGAAAUCGGGUUUAGAUGAUUCUGUGUAACAACAUCUGGAGAUGACUCGAGAUCCUGUUGACCUACUAGAGCAUAGGUACGAUUAUGAGCACCACUCGAACUCGGCACUGCACCUCUACCUCUACCACGACCUGUCGACUACUGAAAACCCCGUGUUAGAGGUCGAACGGAUGAGGAAGAACCAAAAACAGAUCCAGUUGGCUGAGCCAUACCAUCACCUCCCCUGUUAGGACAAUCCCGCAUCAUGUGGUCAGGCUGUCCACAUGAAUAGCAUGCAUCAGAACCUCGACGGCACAGUCCAAAGUGGUCCUUUCCACACUGAUCACAACGUGGUGUUGGGGGUCUCAUCUCACUAGUAUAUGUGUGAUGUUGCGAGCCAGAUGCCCGCGAACUCUGACCUGGACCAUAAUAGGAUCUAUCAUAUCGUGGCCUCUGAAAUUGUGGAGGAGCACUAGCUACGAUGGCGCUGAACUCUUCGAAUGCUUGGGCUUUGACACUGCCUCUGAAGUCAUCAGAAUACCUUGCAAAUCUCGCCCUCUUAUGAUGGCCCUUAUCCUGCUCCCUAUCUGCCCUCUGUUGGUGCUUACGAUCCUCUAGGGUCUGGGCAUAAGCUUGAAUACGGGAAAUAUCCAUGCCCUCUACCAAGGAGGCUGUCAUGCAUUCAUUUAUCAGAUGUGGUCCCAACCCAUUCACGAACAAAUGCACCCUAGCAAGCAUCUCGGCCACCAUAUGGGGAGCAUACCUUGCUAAAGAAUCAAACUGCAUAUUGUACUCUCGCACAUUCAUAUUACCUUGUCUAAGGUACAAGAACUUAUUCGCUCUAGCUCGUCGUAUCUUAAUUGGCAAGUAGUGACAAAGAAAGGCCUCAGAAAAUUCCUUCCACACUGUUGGAGGAGCGUUCGGACCCCUAGAUCUCUCCCAACAAUCAUACCAGAGAACUGCUAAAUCACGUAGCCGAUAAGAAAUCAACUCUACUGCUUCUGUAUCACUAACAUGCAUAACCCGCAGUGUACGAUGAACCUGGUCAAAAAAAGUCUGCAAUUCCUCCUUAGGGUCUGAUCCGGUAAACACUGGGGGGGUCCAAGUUAAUAAAAUCACGAACUCUCGUACUAACUUGUUUAUCAGCAGCAUAUGUAGUUUGCCUUUGAGCCUGAGCAGCCACCAAACUGGUCAAUAACUGCAAAGCACUUCGCAUAUCCUGGUCUGUAGUGCAAGACGAAGGAACUGAAGGUGCUGGGUGCCUCCUAAUAUCCCUUGGAGGAGACGGAAUAGAUGAGGUAUGAGACGGCAUCUCGCUCUGAGACUCACUUUGGCCUGCUCUGGCUUGGGGUAUCUGACUAGUACCCUCUCCCGCAACUGUAUCAAGCCGUCUACUAAUUGUUUGGUUCCUAGUCGAAGGCAUCUCUGAAAGAAAACAAGGUUAAUAUUAUAGAUGAAACUUAUGACUCAACUCUACGCACGAUCUAGAUUAAAGAAGAAGGUAACAACCCUAGAUGUCAUAUAGCCUCCUGAUUAUAAAUGUGGCACGCUACACAUCCAUAAUCAAGACUCUACUAAAUAUGGCUCAUAUACAAUCCCUAGGACAGAGUUGCUCCGAUACAAAGUUUUUCAUGACCCAAACUAGAGGGUCAUGACUAGCACCUGACCAUACUUGCCGAGCACCAACGUACAUUUUAUCUAACCUUCCUUUUUAUCUUUAAGGGUUGACAUGGCUCAUAGACAAUCCCUAGGACAGACUGGCUUUGAUACCAAGUUUGUCACGACCCAAACUGGAGGGCAAUAACUAGCACCCGACCAUACUUGCCGAGCACCAACGUACAUUUUAUCUAACCUUCUUUAUUAUCUCUUAGGGGUGAGGAGAUCAAUAUAAAUGGUAGACAUGGAUCAUGGACAACCAACAAUAAAAUAUGAUGGCAUGAACCUAUAUAACCUGGGAUGACUAGACAAUCAAGAAACUAUAUAUAUAUUGUACGAGCUACCACGCUAUCAUGAAAGGCUAUACAACAACAACCAGUCGACAAGGCAUACCAAACUAUACACGAGUCGACACAUGUCUAUGAGCCUCUAAAGGAACAUAAGUGCUGCAACAUAGCCGGAACAGGGCCCUGACAUACCCAUAAUAUCUAUAACAAAAAUGCAUACCAAGACCAAGGCAAGUCUGGAGAAGGAUCUCGCCAAUCACCGCUGAACUGGACAGUCACUGUGGUUGGGGGAGCUGCAUCUGCCUGUCUAUCAGGACCUGCAGCACAACAUGCAGCAUCCACAAAUAAAAGGACGUCAGUACGGGGGAGAGCUACAUCUGCCUAUCUAUCAGGACCUGCAGCACGACAUGCAAAGUCCAUAAAUAAAAGGGCAUCAGUACGAAUAAUGUACAGAGUAUGUAAGGCAAGGAACCAUAAAUACAAACAGUAAUGUAAGCAUGGAUAGAGAAUAUACAACCUAUAACAUUUGAGUACCUCUGAGGGCUACUGACAUGAAGUGCAUGAUACAUAUGAAUAAAUACAUAAACUUUUAAAACAUACGCCUCUGUGGGCAUCAUCAUCAUCAUAUCGUACCCAGCCGUAAUAGGCUCGGUAAAAACGUACCCGACCAUCAUAAGGCUCGGUAGAUCAUACCCGGCCACGUGGAGCUCGGUAAAACCCAACUGAUCAGUGGUUGCACAGUAGGUGUCGUACCCUGCCGACUAUAGCGCGGCUCGGUAGAGUAAAAUAGAUACAUAUAUAUAAUGCAUACUCGACUCAUAGAAUCACAUUCUAAACCUUUUGGAGUGACGUAAGGUCGGUAUCCUCUGUACACGUUAUUAGGACUAAUUCUUCACUAUGAAACUUAUUAGAAUCAGGAAGUGCCAACAACAUUGAUAACAUAAGAAUAAUAGAAGAAACAUUAACAUCAAUUGUUCCAUAAGAGGGAAAACAAUGUAAGUACUGCUAGCUUUUAAGAGUAGAGUAUCAUUGGAAGCUCAUUCAUUACAUUAUGUAUAGACGGAGUCGUGAAAAAGAAGGAAAUGUAUAUCCUCACAUACCUUGUAUAUAUUGACAAAAUCUCAAAAAUUCCUUCCACGCCGCUGUAGGACCGUUCGGACCCCUGGAUCUCUCCCAACUAUCAUACCAGAGAACUGCUAAAUCACGUAGCCGAUAAGAAGCCAACUCUAAAUGAUACUAUCGUUAUCAUAUAAGCGUCAUAGCCAUUCUGCAACGACCACAACCUAUUUUACUAUAUACAGACAGCACCUCCCAUAUAUUUAUGACUUCAUACCAUUCAAAAAAAUCACCAAACAGCCCGAGCAACAUCAAUAACAAUCAUAUUGAGUCUUCCAAAAUAGUCCACCAACCGAUAACAUUACUACCAAGCCUUUCGAUAUAUAUUUCACAAGUUCUAUCUUCAAUGGCUUAGCCACAACUUGGAUAAUCUUAGAAACAUAUAGAGUAAGAGGUUCCUUACCUUUAUAAAGAAAUAACAACUCCAAUUUGACCUUAAAUUUCCAUAAAUACCCCUCCAAUGCUGCCACAACAACAAGAAAACGAAAAAGCGGUCAAUUAGUAUUUUUCGGCACUAGAAUUGAUUUAGGAGGCUUAAAAUCACCUAGAGUUGAUAUUAAUAACAUGAGGGAGUAUUUACAGAACAUAAACCCUCUAAAACAACCUCCCACACGAGCUGGAACAACACGAAAAUGAGCAACAACAAGAAGAAUAAGAGACUUACUAGCGCCACGAAAUUCCCGACACUUGAUUUGUGUUGUUUGCCCUUUGUUUGGGUAUUGAACCUUGAGAGAAACUUGAUAGGAUGUUCCUAGGGUUCUAAGGUCUGAAAAUAGUGCACAAGCUGGAACAACACAAAAAUGAGCAACAAGAAGUAACAAGAGACGUACUAGCGCCACGGAAUUCCCGACACUUGAUUUGUGUUGUUUGCCCUUUGUUUGGGUCUUGAANNNNNNNNNNNNNNNNNNNNNNNNNNNNNNNNNNNNNNNNNNNNNNNNNNNNNNNNNNNNNNNNNNNNNNNNNNNNNNNNNNNNNNNNNNNNNNNNNNNNNNNNNNNNNNNNNNNNNNNNNNNNNNNNNNNNNNNAAAAUAGUGAAAAUAAAUGACUUAAAACGGGUUGGAAGUGGCAUAUAUAGGCCCAAAUGUCUUAAACCGCCUUAGUGGGCCCCAUGGAGAGGUGCUUGGCACAGUCUCGAGAAAACGCAAAGGUCUCUUUAUUCCGAGAUCGUAUCAACAAACAGUUUAAUGAGUUAGAAACUAGACUCAUACAUCUUAAAUUUUAUGGUUAGAUCAAUCCAUAAUUCUUAUUAAAUUGGGAGAAAAGCUUAGUAACAUUUGACCUAAUGUGUAAGUAAAAUUAUGAACCUAAGUUGCGACAACUUUUGUCGACUUUUGUCUCAUAACUCAUUUGNNNNNNNNNNNNNNNNNNNNNNNNNNNNNNNNNNNNNNNNNNNNNNNNNNNNNNNNNNNNNNNNNNNNNNNNNNNNNNNNNNNNNNNNNNNNNNNNNNNNNNNNNNNNNNNNNNNNNNNNNNNNNNNNNNNNNNNNNNNNNNNNNNNNNNNNNNNNNNNNNNNNNNUUGUCGACUUUUGUCUCAUAACUCAUUUGACUUCAAGACUUAUAAUACGGAUAUUAUAUGAUUAAAAUACCUUAAAACACUACCUCUUGAGUGUACUAAUCACCUCUAGUUUUAUCCGAAAAUACGACUAAAUACAUCUUUGAUUCGUUUAACUUCUAGUACUUGUUAUCCACCCAUAUACACCUUUGUAUCAUUUAAGACCAAUAAAAUUAACUUCUUAUCAUCUUAAAGAUAAUACUUUCAUGGAUUUAUGUCGAUUACCUUAUGGAAUGAGCUAACAUGCGUGAAUAUGGGUUGUAACAUUACACAACUUAUCUCAUAUCAAGGAUGGAUCCGUUAAAGUAUAUCUUUCAGAAGCCCAUGCCUACUGACAAGCUCUCCAAAUGGCACAUCCUGUUAAGUGAAUUCGACAUUGUUUACGUCACUCAGAAGGCAGUCAAAGGAAAAGCUUUGGCAGAUCAUCUCGCCGAGAAUACUGUGGGAGGAGAAUAUGAGCCUUCGAAGACAUAUUUUUCUGACGAAUAGGUAUCUUUCAUAGGAGAAGACAUUGCAGAAUCCUAUGAUGGUUUGAGGAUGUUUUCCGAUGGAAUCGCAAAUUUCAAAGGAUUUGGUAUAGGAGCAGUCUUGGUAUCAGAAACCGGUCAGCAUUACCCAGUAUCCGCCAAGCUCAGGUUCCCAUGCACCAACAACAUGGCCGAGUACAAAGCCUGCAUCUUAGGGCUCAAAUUGGCCAUUGAACAUGAACAUUUAGGAGUUGCUAGUAAUCGAAGACUCGAACCUCCUAAUACAUCAGGUUCGAGAGGAAUGGGAAACCAAGAAUUCUAAGAUACUCCCUUAUCUGCAUCACAUAUAGGAGAUGAGGAAAAGGUUCACAAAGACCGAAUUUCAGCAUAUUCCCAAAAUACAGAAUGAGUUCGCUGAUGCACUUGCGACUUUAUCAUUCAUGAUCCAACAUCCAGAUUCAAACUUCAUUGAUCCCAUUCAGAUCAAGAUCCAUAACCAACCAGCUUUUUGUGCUCAUGUUGAGAAAGAAGCGGAUGGAAAACCAUGGUUCCACGACAUCAGAGAAUAUUUGACAACAGGAGAAUACCCAGAGCUUGACAAUGCUACUCAGAAGUGCAUGCUCCAGAGAUUGUCUAAUAAUAUCUUUCAUUGCGGGGGAAUCCUUACAGGAGAACUCCUGAUUUAGGAUUACUAAGAUGUGUCGAUACAAAGGAAGCAUCCAAGUUGCUGGAUGAAGUGCAUGCGGGGAUCUGCGGACCGCACAUGAACGGUUUUGUUUUAGUGAAGAAGAUACUCCGAGAAGGAUAUUUUUAGAUGACUAUGGAAACGGACUGGAUCAAGUACGUUCGAAAGUGCCAUCGGUGUCAGAUACAUGCAGAUGUGAUAAAAGUACCUCCAAACGAGCUUAAUGCAACAAGCUCUCCAUGGCCGUUCGCCGCUUGGGGAAUGGAUGUUAUUGGACCGAUCAAGACUGGCGUGUCAAACGGGCACAUGUUUAUCUUAGUGGAAAUUGAUUAAUUCACUAAACGGGUCAAAGCAUCAUCAUACAAAGAAGUAACCAAGAAUGUUGUAGCAUAUUUCGUCUACGACCGUAUGGUUUGUCGGUUCGGAAUUCUAGAAUCAAUUAUCACUUACAAUGGUUUCAAUCUCAAGAGCGACCUAAUGAAAGCAAUGUGUGAGACUUUCAAGAUCAAACAUAAAAAUUCCAUAGCUUAUAGACCUCAGAUGAAUGGAGCUCUGUAGAAGCAACCAAUAAGAACAUCAAGAAGAUAUUAAGGAAGAUGAUUGAAAGGCACAAGCAGCAGCAUGAGAAAUUGUCGUUUUCCUUAUUGGGUAAUCGUACCACUAUCUGCACAUACACCGGGGCAACUCCCUACAUAUUACUUUAUGGUACAGAAGCAGUCAUUCCCUCCGAGAUAGAAUCGAUCCGCUUUCAGUUAUUCAGCACAGUCGUCAGCAGCGUCAGCCCGGUAAACUGGUGCGGAAUUUUGAGGAUGCGAGGUUGCCGUGUCUUGAACCACGUUGCAGUCGUUGGUUAAUCCAAAAUAAAAUCGUUUUUCAAAUAUUUACUUACAUUAUAUUUACUAAAUCAUGCAUAAACGUCAUUUGGAUCUCUAUCGUUUAGCACUGCUACCCCAAUGAUACGCGGCGUCAAGAGCCAAGGAAUAUGAACUAACCUUCCCCAUCUACAGAACUCAUGACUUUGGAUGCAGGCACCUAGGCCGCAAAUCAUUGAACACGUUCAUUCUUAAGGAUUGAGAACUUUCAUAACGGUCGCUCAUUCACAAAUCUACUAUUUACACCGAACAUUCCCCAACACUCAUAAUAUCACAACCAUCUAUCAGCUAAGAAAACUUACUAUUGUUCGCUCAUUUACAUUCCUGCAUUGCAUAAGGCUAUUUUCUGCCUUCCGAGGUUAAGAUCUACCUACAUACUGCAUAAGGUCACUUGUCUGCCUUUUAAGACUAAGCUCUUUCUCCAUCUACAUUGUUGCAUAAGUCUAUUUUCUGCCUUCCGAGGUUAAGCACUACCUCCAUCCUGCAUAAGGCUACUUAUCUGCCUUUCGAGACUGUGACGACCCGACUCAUCAUCUUAUGUGUUACUGCUCUGUUUCCCCUUAUUGUGUUGCUUCAUGUUUCAAUAUCAGUAUUAGAGUCGAUCGGGUGUCAUUGAAUUGGUUUUGGUUGAAAAUAAGGCACUUGGCAUCAUAGAAGGAAGCUUGUUUUGGAAAAGUCAACCGGAAGUUAACUUGUGAGUAAGAAGGCUCGGAUGUGAUUUAAGAUAAUUCGGUUAGCUUUGGAAUAUGAUUUGUGACUUAGGAGAGCGAUCAGAAUUGAAUUUGGAGAUCCGGUGUAGAAUUAGGCUUGAAUUGGUGAAGUUUGAAUUUUGACGGAUUCCGGUUGGUAGGUGAGAUUUUGAUCUCAGGGUCGGAAUGGAAUUCAAAGAGUUGCAGUAGCUUUAUUAGGUAAUUUUGGAUACGUCCACAAAUUUUCAGGUCUUUCGAACAUUGUUUAGUCGGAUUUUUGAUUGAAUAUGAGUUCAGAAAUUUAAAGUAAAUUUAAGCUUGAAUUUGUCGUGAUUUGAUGAUUUUUGUGUUAUAGGACGUGUUUUUAUGAUUGGAACAAGUUCCUAUAAUGUUUCGGGGUAUGUUGGUGUCCUUGGUCGAGGUUCCGGGGGUCUCGGGGUGAUUUCGAAGGUUCAAACGGAUCAAUUUUAGCUUGUAUAGAUGUUAGAUUUUUGCUGUCAUAUGUUGCAGACCUUAAAGCAUCGCUUCGCGUGGUGGUGGACGCUAAUGCGUAGAGUGAAUUUGAGAGGCCUGGAAAUUAGUAAUUGUGUUCGCGUAGUUUUGGGAAGUAAAGCAUCGCGUUCGCAGUGCAUGUAGCACGUUCGCGUAGAGGGGAUGUGAGGCCAUGAGUAAGUACUCAUCGCGAUCGCGGCCAUAGGGGUACGUUCGCGUAGGUGGAGACUGUGGAACAUCGCGCUCGCGGGUCGGUAGUCGCGUUCGCGUAAGGGUAUUUGGGGUCAGCAUAAUUUGGUCAUCGCGAACGCGUGGGUCUUGGACCGCGUUUCUGUAGGGUAAAUUGGCACCCGGGCAGAAUUGAUUUAAGUCAUUUUACUCCGUGAGUUUAAGUCAUUUUUCCUCCAUUGUUGAGCAACUUUGGAGCUAUUGGACGAGGGAAUAAGAGUAUUUCACCUAGGUUUCGACUUGAGGUAAGUUUUAUGAGCUUAAUAUAUGAGAUUGGUGAAUAAUCAUCCAUUAAUUCUCUGAAUCUGGGUAUGAAAUUGAAGAAACUGGGCUUGAGUUUUUGAUAUUUAAAAUUGGGAUUUGAUAGGUUAUUUGAGCUUGAAUUUGGGAGUUCUUGGUAUGUAUGAACUCGUGGAGAGACGAGGAUUCCGGAAAUGGAACUUUCGUAAUAUUUCGAGAAGCGGGCCCGGAGCUCGGGUUUUGCUAGUUUCGAGGUUCUUGCUAUAAUUCAAUUAUUUUCGAUUGGGCAUUGUCCUAUUUGCAUAUUGUGAUGUAUUUGCUCUGUUUUUUACUAGAUUCGACGCGCAUGGAGGACGAUUUGAGGGGCAAAGGCGUCACAAGCUCGAGAUUACACCGGUUUGAGGUGAGUAAUAUUGGGGAAUGAUAUCCUGAGGGUUUGAAACACCGGAUUUGCGCAUCCUAGUGUUGUAUUGUAGUGACUUGCACACUGGACCUGAGCGUGGGGUAGAGCACCGUUGGGAUUGUGACUUUGUCCGUCCUAGUUGUUGGUUUUUACCGCUAAAUCAUAAAUCUUUUGUUGUUAUCAUCAUGACUUGGGCUCAUUUCCAUACUUGGGGAUUAUUGCAGAUUAUUUGAAAACCCCGGUAUAACAUUGCGAUGCUACAUUGAGGCGAGACACGCACACCAUGGCUAGUGCGGGGUCAUAUAUGUGGGAAAUUGUGACUAGGUUCAAUCCGAGGGAUGAAUUAUACUAUAUUGGUGAUUGCUUCGCACCCUAUAUUGAUGUUAUCUGGGCUUGAUGCCAUGUUUGGGGCCUUGUGCCGACAUGUAGAAUCCUGUAGGGAUUGAUAUUUCAGAUGUUAGCAUGAUUUGCAUACUAUUUGCAUUCAAUCCAAGGUUUUUAACACUAUUUUUACAAACUCAGCCAAAAUUAUAUGCUUUGAAAACACAAAUGAUUUUUAAAUGAUAUUUCGGGCUGACAAUCAUUAUCUCACUAUUUUUUGGACUGCAUAUUAUAUCAUGGAAACGGUGGUAACUAUUGGCACCGUGUGUUUUAAUGAAAACGGUGGUAAUUAUUGACACAGUGUAUUGUAAUGGAAACAAUGGUAACUAUUGGCACUGUAUAAUAUUGCGCUUGGGUUGAAGGAGCCCCUCCGGAGUCUGAACCCCCACAGUGAGCUCCGUCGACGUUAACUCAUAUGCAUGGUUGGCUCGGGCUGCACGUUGCAGCGUAUUCAUGUACACUGCAUUGCAUUCAUGCAUUUACUCAUGUUUGUACUAUGUGGCACGACAUUUAGCUCUCAUAUAUCAUCGGCAUACAUACUGUUACUUGCCUUGUUGACCACAUACCCUGGUGUUAUAUGUUAAGGAGUGCUGAACCCGAGAGGCUGAUGUUGGAUAUUUUGAGUUGAUAUUGAGCCCAAGGGACAGGUUUCUGACUAUUUCCUACUUGUUGAAAUUAACUUUGAAAUUGUUGAAAAAAGCAUAUUUUCAAAAGAGAUUUUUGAACUGCACUUGGGAUUUUCUAAAGGGAAUUUUCACAGUAUCUCAGCUUUGGGUUGUCCUGUCUUUAAAGAUGUUUGGUGUGCUCAUACGUGUUUUCUUAUCGCUCAGAUAUUAUUCUCUCCUAUUACCACUGAGUUGGAAGUACUCACUUUACUCCCUGCACCUUGCGUGCAUUUGCAGGUAUUGUUCAUCCGGUAGCGGAUUAUUAGCAGGACCGAAUGCCUUAUUGUGGUACUACUUUACUCCCUGCACCUUGCGUGCAGUUGGAGGUAUUGUUCACCCGAUAGCGGGUCAUUAGCAGGAUCGAAGGCCACAUUCUGGUAAUCGAACAGGGUGACCGCCAGCGUUCGCGGCACCGCACUCCAUCUUUGAAUUCCGGUUUUACCUUGUAUAUUUAUACAUUGUUGGUCCCGUAGUAGUGUCCCAACUCUUUAGAUGCUCGUGACUUGCGACACCCCGGUCGGGUUGUAUUGUGAUGAAAUUUCAUAGUUAAAUGCCAUUAAUUAGUACUUCCAUUCAUUUAUGUUUAAUAGUUGUUUCAAAGAGGAUAUUGGGUUGUUGGCUGGCCUUGUCUUCACGAGAGGUGCCACCACGACCGGGUCGUGACAGAGACUAAGCUUUGUCUCCGUUUGCAUUUUGCAUAAGGCUACCUUUCUAAUUUUCGAGGUUAAGCUCUACCUCCAUCCCGCAUAAGGCUACAUAUCUGCCUUUCGAGACAAAGCUCUGUCUCCACCUGCAUUUUGCAUAAGGCUAUUUUCUACCUUCCGAGGUUAAGCUCUACCUCCAUCCUGCAUAAGGCUACUUAUCUGCCUUUCGAGACUAAGCUCUGUCACCAUCUGCAUUUUGCAUAAGGCUACUUAUCUGCCUUUCGAGAUUAAGCUCUGUCUCUAUCUGCAUUUUUGCAUAAGGCUACUUUCUGCCUUCCGAGACUAAGCUCUGUCUCCAUCUGCAUUGCAUAAGGCUAUUUUCUACCUUCCGAGAAUAAGAAUUGUCUUCAUCUCGUAUGGCUGAAAUAUCGCCACUUUAUUUUUUUUGAACGGCUGAAAUAUCACCACCUGCAUUUAUGUUUUCACUUUGGCUGAAAUAUCGCCAUCUGUAUUUAAUUUUUCGCUUUGGCUGAAAGAUCGCCACCCUUUGCAUUCAUUUGUCUGGAAUAUUUCCACAUUCUCAUGGGCGGAAAGAUCGCCAACUUAUUCAAAGGCAUCAUAGUUCAAAGGCCCCAUCUGCAUAGCUCUAGAUUAUGAAAAUGUCUAACAAUGGCCUUCCAGCUCCGAAAGAUGAAUAUUAUGAUGCGGAAAAAUUCCUGGGAGUUGAAUUUGAGCGAAAUUAUGACAAACUCAUGUCAAAGAGUAUUGUCAAAGAACGGGGCAUCCGUUUGGAAAAUACUGAGGAGAAAAUGCCAGAGUUCUUCCAGAGAUUGAAUGAAAAUGGUUGGAUAUGCUUUGCUCCUGAACCAAUAAGCGAACUACGCCAAAUUCGAGAAUUUUAUGCAAAUGCAUUGAGGACUGAUUUCCGGGAGGAAGUGUUCACUUCCGUCAGAGGAAAGCGGGUCAACUUUGGACCUGAGGUAAUUAAUGCACACUAUAGGCUGCCCAAUUUUGACGACGAGGUAUACAGAGCUAUAGGAAGAGAGAGAGAGAGAGAGAGAGAGAGAGAGAGAGAGAGAGAGAGAGAGGAUAUCAAUGGUUGAUUGAAAAGCUUCACGGGUGGUGGUGCCAACUUGGGUAAGAGCGCAUAAAGGGGUUGAUUCUCAUGAGUUCACUAGGGAAGCCAAGAACUGGCUAUCCCUUAUCUGUGCCAGGAUUGUGCCUGCUAGGAAUGAGACUGAGGUGACUCUAGAGAAGGCAAUGAUGAUUGCUGCAAUCAUGGAUGGCCUGCCAGUAAAUGUAGGCCGACACAUUGUGAAUGAGAUUGAGGAAGCUUGCAAUGAAGAACGAGAAGCCUAUUCUUUCCUUCAUUGAUCACCCAGUUGUGUUAUAAUGCAGGUGUGUUAACAGCCUGCUACGGAAAUCUUUCCAUUGCUUCGAAGAAGGGCAUCUGGGAAGAAGAAGAAGAGAAGGAUCGAUGUGCAGUCUCCUUCAUUUGGGCAGUUUGAUGAGCCGGUCGAGGGAUAUGGUAGUGACCCCACAACUUCAGCAGGGUUCUUUGACACCAUGGGACAACUCCAGUCAGGUCCUCGCACUAUGCGCCAUAUUUCCCAUCAGAUAGCAGGUGUUGAUGUGCAUAUUCGACAGCUAGUUGUCGGCUUUCCUUCUGGACCAUCUAAUUCAGCUAUUCCAACUAGUGAGGGUACUUCUACUAGGUCCGGCAAGAAGAAGCAACCGACUUUAGAUGAAGUGGUGCAUGAUCAAAAAGCAAUAAAGACCAGGCGAGAAGACCUUGGCCGGAGGCAAGGAAAAGUAGAAAGGCGACAUAGGAAAUUCAAGGAGCACGAAAAGAAGAAAAGAUGGUUCCUAUCGCGGAUGACGCAGACGAUCGGCUCACUAUGUGGUUCACAGGAUUCUUCUGAUGAUGAUUAUGGCGAUGCAGAGCUAAAGUUUCCUACCACAUCCGACUCCGAGUGAUGCAGUAUUCAGGGAGCACUUUUCACCAUUUUAUUCUUCCAUGUUUAGUUGCAUUAGGAACAUUGCAAUAUCUUUUGUUGGGGGUGGCUUCUUGUAUAGUUGUGGUUAGGGCAGUUUAGUAUUGUAGUUGUUUUUAUUUUUAUUUUGUAGUAUAUUUUGUGUGAUGUGUGACAUUAAUUAUAUUAGUAAUGAUGCAUUAACAUCUUAAUUCUAUGUAUUAUUAGUAUCUUAAAUCAUUUUUUUAUUUUAUAUAUUUAGUGUGUUUUAUGUUAGUGGCGAUAUCCUUUGUUUUCUUUAUACCACGGUUCUUUUCCCAAGGAUGCCAAUUUUCUUCUUGAACCGGAAAAAGUGUAGAUAAUUUUGAUUUUUUUAUUUGUUGUUGUUAUCGACUAACUUGGGUUGAAAAAUGAUAUUAGGCCUUCCUUGAACCGCUAGUAUGCUUUAAAUUUCCUGCCCUUAAAUAUUUUCCCUAGUCAACCAAUUUUGAGCAUUUAAUGUCGUGUGUUUUAAUAUCGCUUACUUCUAUUUUACAUGUUGUAUGUGAUUUAGAAGUAAUGGUGAAGAAACCAAGUGAAAACAAGCCAAAAUGGAGCUUAAAUGGAGAAAAUGCAACUGCCCAGAUAUUUACACUGCGAUCGCAUAGACCCAGGACCCAAAGCAAUGCGAACGCAAUGGUCUUGUGCGAACGCACAGAAGAAAGGGAGUCUGGUCAGCAGUUGGUCAACUACUUUAUGUGAACGCAUAGAGUACUGUGCGAUCGCACAGUAGGCGGGAACUAACCCUAUGCGAUCGCACUACCUCUAUUGCGAUCGCAUAGAGUUAAUUAGGGACAGCUCUGGAAUUUCACUUAUUUUGACCCUAAAUCCUUUAAUAUCCAAAUCGGUUCAUUUUGUACGUAUCUUUGGCUUAUUUUCAGUCCAUAGAGACUAGAGAGAACAAGGAGAAAGCUAGGGUUCUUGCACAAACACACUUGGGUCUUGAUGAUUGAAGCUUGUGGUUAAGAUUUUCUUAUCUAUUUAUGUUGUUUCCUUCAUUUCCUUGCUUUGUAUUGUAAAUCUAAGUGUGCAGUAUUUAUUUCCAACACUUAAUCUUGUUUAUGGGAAUAUUCAUAAUUAAAGUGUGGAUUUAANNNNNNNNNNNNNNNNNNNNNNNNNNNNNNNNNNNNNNNNNNNNNNNNNNNNNNNNNNNNNNNNNNNNNNNNNNNNNNNNNNNNNNNNNNNNNNNNNAAGCUAGGGUUCUUGCACAAACACACUUGGGUCUUGAAGAUUGAAGCUUGUGGUUAAGAUUUUCUUACCCAUUUAUGUUUAUUUCUUCAUUUCCUUGCUAUGUGUAGUAUUUUUUCCCAACAUUUAAUCUUGUUUAUGGAAAUAUUCAUAAUUAAAGUAUGGAUUUAAUACCUUGUUGUGCUUAUGUAUUAAUUGAAGUUCUUGUAUUGUUCACAUAGAUUUUGCUUGUUGAAUCUUUAUUUGUUCAACUACAUAAUUAGUAUUAGUUAAUUGAAAGGAAUUUCAAUUAACCAUGCCUAUUUAGUGUGUAUCUACUCGAGAGAGAGUGCAUAUUUAGGUAGUUGUUGAACAUCACUCCCGGAGUAUAGACGAGAGUCAUAAUCGAGAGUUUAGAGGUUUGAUUAGAUAGAGAUACCUCAGGUGCAAUCUAAGUGAACCAUUAUACGAAUCUAGAUAGCGUAGCUCGAGAGAGUGCGUCUAAUAAAUUAUUAUAAUUACUCGAGAGAAAUUUAUGAUACGUAGAGAGUUCACGGUUGAUAGAAGCAACUAAGUAUAUCUUUUUGACCAUUAUUGGAAGGGAUAUAAAAUACAUUGGAUCGUUACUUGAUGUGUAAUUCCCGAUGCAGCAUUUCCCCAAUUAAGUAUACCUUUGUGACCAUUAUUGUAAGGGAUACAAAAUAAAUUGGAUCUUUACUUGAUGUGUAAUUCCCGAUGCAUUCAUACUUGUAGCCAUUGAUCAUUUUAUUUGCUUUCUAGAAUAGUUUACAUUUCCGCAAUUAAACCAAUAUAAUUCCAGAAACAUCUCAUUAACCCGUUUGGCUUUUCACCAUAAGUGAUAAUUCUCCUACAUCCCUAGUCGCCUACACAUUGUCCCUGUGGAUUCGACUCCGACUCAUAGUUGGGUAAAUUAUAUUGCAAUCUACCGUAUCUAUUGCUUUUGAGCAGUGAAUUUGGACGACUUCAAUAUUCCUUCAAUUUGUUGUACUCAACCAAGUAACUGCUUUCCAAUUCCUCUAAAAUCAUUCUCUUUACCCUUUUUAACUUUGAAUCAAUUACAUUCAAACUAAAUAUAUCCUCUAAUCAACCUUCAUCUUUUUAACCUUAAACUUAGGAUUAUUUUGAAUCUUUCUCUUAAAAUAAUGUGCUAAAGCAGCAGAAGUAGCUCUUCUAUUCUCAAAAACUUCACCAUAAUCAUGUUUAUCCCUCCAAGUUUUUAUCUUUACCCCUUGAUCUCUGUCAUCCUUAGAAAUAAAAUAUUUAAAGGGACACUAAAUCUGAGACUUGUAUCUAAGUUUUAUCCUAUCACUCUUAUCUACCUGUCCACUCUUAUUAGAAACAACAUAAAAAUCAAUAAUCUCCUUAGCUUCAGCGAGAUCUUGAAUGUCAUACCUUUUUCCAAUAUUUUAUACCUAUCAAGUUGGUAAGUUAUCUCAAAUUUCUUUUGCCUCUAAUAUAAACCUAGGGCAUCAUUAUCAUAAGCACUAUCAAUACUUUUUAUAUAUGUAUCAUCUUCACUACUAUCACAUUCAGUAGCUACAACAACAUGUAUACUAUUUGUAUUGGUUCGCCGGGUAAAUACUAUCACACCUCCUUUUUAUACACCAACCCCGAAGGAUAAUGUAUAAGGGAGUUUUUCCAUUUAAAGUGAAAUUAUUCGGAUCGGGAUUAUUUAUUCAGAGUCGACACUUGGGAUAAGUUUGACUUUUGGUGUCCUAAGUCAACAGUUUAGCUUGAAUCCCAAUCCGAGGAAAAUGUUCGACUUCCUAAUUGGAGUCUGCGAACCAAAAAUUCUAAAUAAGGAAUUCUAUUGACCCGGGGAAAAGUGUUAGGCACCAUCAGAUCUCGUGGUUCUAGCACGGUCACUUAAAUUGCCGUGAAUGGUCAAAAUCUGAUUUUUAUUACAUGAAGAGCCUAUGUGGCAAUUUUUACUUUUUACCGCUUUUAUUCAAUAUAAUAUUUAUUUGAGAAAGUGAACGUCGUUUAAAGUGUGUUUUCGGAUUUCGCCACAUAAAAUGAACUCGCAAUCCAAGGCACACUCUAUUCAACGUUUUAGGAUUUAGAUUUAGGUCGCAAGAAAUGCACACCCGUAUUUAGGAAGGUAAUAUUAUUAAAAGCGCGCCUAAAGCGACUACCGUGUUAUUAACUUCGCGGGAGGGAGGCCGUAAAAAUUUGCUAAACGACAUGUCCUAAAUUCUAAAUAGUUAAAAUUAAUUAAGCGAGGGCCAUGAGUUUUGGGAUUUUAUUUAACAUGGCACGCCUCAAAUUAUUUCAUUGCUUCGAAAGUUAGAGCUACAUACUGUAUAGUUCUCAUUUUGCAAGACCCUCACAAUGAUUUACGAGUCUGACACUAAAGUUUCUCAUUCCCUGACUCUAAACCAAAUUCCUUUACAAAAGUUGUACACAUUCAGCUUAUAAACACAGCACAUAGCUCAACAAACAAAUGGAAUCUAAAGGCCAUAAGAAGGACAAGCAGUUAUAAUGAGUAAAAUGGCAAAUGAAUUCAGAAUUGGUGUUGUCCUACAGCCCCUCAAGCAUGCUGUACAUAACUUAUUUGUAUUCUACCAAAGAAAUUGCUCAAAUUACUAAAAUUAUACAUGGACACCCAUAUUAGCCAAACAAUUCAAGGCCAUUAAUCUAGUAUAUCUAACAUUUAAACCCAGAACGAGAGAAAGGGUGAAUCAAGCAACAAUGAGACAUUUUUUGUUAAUGUAAUUCAUAUUCAAAAUUUUGCAACCCAAAACCUCUCAUAUGUACUGCUCUCACAUGGAAUACGACAACAAAACACGGCUUCUCGAAUUUGACAGAAUUAUCAAGCAGGCAACUCAAAAAUCGGUAAUUCCGAAUCAACAAUUACCCCGGCGUACAGAACUUAGCAACUUCGCGAACACGAAAUUCACAAUACCGUGGUAAAAUUCCACAUCAAUUCUUCAAAAUUCAGCUACACAAAGCUUAUACCAAUUCGAAAAUUUAACAAAAAUUUUAACAUUACAUGUCAACCAAGAGUCAUUUCUGGAAUCGAAUUGAUAUUGCAAUAUACAGAAUCCAAAUGGAGUUAAAAGAUAAGGAAAAUAGUCAUGAUUUUACAUUAAAACAUAUCUAAAAAUACAGAGGUGAGGGAACGUACUUACUUGGACUAGAAUUGACCUUAAUCAGUAGUUGAAACAACUAGAAAACCCAGCAAGAGCCAGCUGCAGCAACAAACCAGCCACGAACGAAUUGUCACUCACGAAUUCCAGAAAAAUUGCAAAUAAGAGAGCAGAAAUUCAAGUAGCCUUCAAAUCCUUUAUUUUCAGUUUUCGUUUCAUCUCUUGGAGUUUGACUAGAUCCUCCAUGGAUUGUCGGAUUUAAUGUUACUUCUGGCCAGAUCCGCGAUUUGUGAAGAGUCCCCUUAUUUUGUGAUCUUCAUUUUGAUUUGAGAACGAAGGGAGGAGAGCUUUUUUUUUGGUGUUCUGCUCCAGGAGGUUAUGCACGAGAGGGGAGAGAGGGGGGGGCUAGCAUCAGCGUUAAUGGUGUCGAGGUCUUGGAGAGAAAAAUGGAGGAAAAGGGAGGUCUCUCUGUUCACAUGUGUGUCUAGGUUAUGUUGUACAGAUUUGACUGUAGGAUCAUAGGAUGAGAUAACGUGUUCGAGGGGAUUUGGGUCUUAAAA